ACGAACGCUGGCGGCGUGCCUAAUACAUGCAAGUUGAACGCUUGCGACUGGUACUUGUACUAGACGCAAGAGUAGCGAACGGGUGAGUAACGCGUGGGUAACCUACCUCUUAGCGGGGGACAACUAUUGGAAACGAUAGCUAAUACCGCAUAAUAAUUUUUAACACAUGUUAGGAAUUUGAAAGUACCAACUGGUACACUAAGAGAUGGACCCGCGUUGUAUUAGCUAGUUGGUAGUGUAAUGGACUACCAAGGCGAUGAUACAUAGCCGACCUGAGAGGGUGAUCGGCCACAUUGGGACUGAGACACGGCCCAAACUCCUACGGGAGGCAGCAGUAGGGAAUCUUCGGCAAUGGACGAAAGUCUGACCGAGCAACGCCGCGUGAGUGAAGAAGGCUUUCGGGUCGUAAAGCACUGUUGUAUGGGAAGAACGGGUUUAAGAGGAAAUGCUUAAGCAGUGACGGUACCAUACCAGAAAGGGACGGCUAAAUACGUGCCAGCAGCCGCAGUAAAAC
rnacentral:rRNA from 1 species